rnacentral:rRNA from 1 species
AGCAGCCGCGGUAAUUCCAGCUCCAAUAGCGUAUAUUAAAGUUGUUGCAGUUAAAAAGCUCGUAGUUGAAUUUCGGGGUUAGUAGGUUGGUCAUGCCUCUGGUAUGUACUGGUCUCACUGAUUCCUCCUUCCUGAUGAACCUUAAUGCCAUUAAUUUGGUGUUUUGGGGAAUUUGGACUGUUACUUUGAAAAAAUUAGAGUGUUUAAAGCAAGCUAACGCUUGAAUACAUUAGCAUGGAAUAAUGAAAUAGGACGUUCGAUCCUAUUUUGUUGGUUUCUAGGAUUGACGUAAUGAUUAAUAGGGAUAGUUGGGGGCAUUAGUAUUCAAUUGUCAGAGGUGAAAUUCUUGGAUUUAUUGAAGACUAACUACUGCGAAAGCAUUUGCCAAGGAUGUUUUCAUUAAUCAAGAACGAAAGUUAGGGGAUCGAAGACGAUCAGAUACCGUCGUAGUCUUAACCAUAAACUAUGCCGACUAGGGAUCGGAUGGUGUUAAUUUUUUAAUGACUCAUUCGGCGCCUUACG